AGGUUUAUGAUGACAAACCAAUGUCAUGAAGAGAGAUGAUUACAUAAAAACGAUGCUCAAUAAGAUUAUGCGGAGGCCC
ensembl:snoRNA SNORD115 Small nucleolar RNA SNORD115